rnacentral:rRNA from 1 species
AAAUUGAAGAGUUUGAUCAUGGCUCAGAUUGAACGCUGGCGGCAGGCCUAACACAUGCAAGUCGAGCGGUAGCACAGAAGAGCUUGCUCUCGGGUGACGAGCGGCGGACGGGUGAGUAAUGUCUGGGAAACUGCCUGAUGGAGGGGGAUAACUACUGGAAACGGUAGCUAAUACCGCAUAACGUCGCAAGACCAAAGUGGGGGACCUUCGGGCCUCAUGCCAUCAGAUGUGCCCAGAUGGGAUUAGCUAGUAGGUGGGGUAACGGCUCACCUAGGCGACGAUCCCUAGCUGGUCUGAGAGGAUGACCAGCCACACUGGAACUGAGACACGGUCCAGACUCCUACGGGAGGCAGCAGUGGGGAAUAUUGCACAAUGGGCGCAAGCCUGAUGCAGCCAUGCCGCGUGUGUGAAGAAGGCCUUCGGGUUGUAAAGCACUUUCAGCGGGGAGGAAGGCGAUAAGGUUAAUAACCUUGUCGAUUGACGUUACCCGCAGAAGAAGCACCGGCUAACUCCGUGCCAGCAGCCGCGGUAAUACGGAGGGUGCAAGCGUUAAUCGGAAUUACUGGGCGUAAAGCGCACGCAGGCGGUCUGUCAAGUCGGAUGUGAAAUCCCCGGGCUCAACCUGGGAACUGCAUUCGAAACUGGCAGGCUAGAGUCUUGUAGAGGGGGGUAGAAUUCCAGGUGUAGCGGUGAAAUGCGUAGAGAUCUGGAGGAAUACCGGUGGCGAAGGCGGCCCCCUGGACAAAGACUGACGCUCAGGUGCGAAAGCGUGGGGAGCAAACAGGAUUAGAUACCCUGGUAGUCCACGCCGUAAACGAUGUCGAUUUGGAGGUUGUGCCCUUGAGGCGUGGCUUCCGGAGCUAACGCGUUAAAUCGACCGCCUGGGGAGUACGGCCGCAAGGUUAAAACUCAAAUGAAUUGACGGGGGCCCGCACAAGCGGUGGAGCAUGUGGUUUAAUUCGAUGCAACGCGAAGAACCUUACCUGGUCUUGACAUCCACAGAACUUUCCAGAGAUGGAUUGGUGCCUUCGGGAACUGUGAGACAGGUGCUGCAUGGCUGUCGUCAGCUCGUGUUGUGAAAUGUUGGGUUAAGUCCCGCAACGAGCGCAACCCUUAUCCUUUGUUGCCAGCGGUCCGGCCGGGAACUCAAAGGAGACUGCCAGUGAUAAACUGGAGGAAGGUGGGGAUGACGUCAAGUCAUCAUGGCCCUUACGACCAGGGCUACACACGUGCUACAAUGGCAUAUACAAAGAGAAGCGACCUCGCGAGAGCAAGCGGACCUCAUAAAGUAUGUCGUAGUCCGGAUUGGAGUCUGCAACUCGACUCCAUGAAGUCGGAAUCGCUAGUAAUCGUAGAUCAGAAUGCUACGGUGAAUACGUUCCCGGGCCUUGUACACACCGCCCGUCACACCAUGGGAGUGGGUUGCAAAAGAAGUAGGUAGCUUAACCUUCGGGAGGGCGCUUACCACUUUGUGAUUCAUGACUGGGGUGAAGUCGUAACAAGGUAACCGUAGGGGAACCUGCGGUUGGAUCACCUCCUUA